rnacentral:rRNA from 1 species
CAGCCGUAAACAAUGUGCGUUAGGUGUGUCGGUAACCACGCGUUACUGAUGCGCCGAAGAGAAAUCGUGAAACGCACCACCUGGGAAGUACGGUCGCAAGGCUGAAACUUAAAGGAAUUGGCGGGGGAGCACCACAACAGGUGGAGCCUGCGGUUUAAUUGGAUUCAACGCCGGACAUCUCACCGGAUAAGACAGCUGAAUGAUUGUCAAUCUGAAGGUUUUACACGACUAGCUGAGAGGAGGUGCAUGC